rnacentral:misc_RNA from 1 species
UAAUCUGGACUUAGUCUGGACGGGACCAGACCAUCAGACGUGGUGAUUUUUUACAGUCACCUUUAUGUCAAAGACGCGUGAUACUCCGUGAACGAUAGCGGCGCCGGAACAGCUGUCCAUACCGUCAAACGUUCUCGGCUGCCUGCUACCGUCAGUGUAGUUUCCGCAAAGUUUCCCUCGAGAACGGCGUGGUAAGAUCGAAUAGCGAUGACGGACGCAUCGAAUUUACCGGGUGCCUCCACGGGCCAGAGGGUGAUGUCAAGGAUGCUGCGGCAGCGGGCCCAAGAAUUUCUCGCCUCGCGGAAGCACGCGAACAACCUGUUGGAGAUAAUCAGCCACUGGGACGAAGCUACUUCUUCAUGCCUGCUCACAAUAGAAACGAUAUUCGUGGAAGUGUUGAAGCGUAGUGAUAUGUAUAUGGAGAAUACGAUAGCCCUUACCAUUUCGGAACCUAGCCCAGAAUCUCGCUAUACUACUUGGCUGAGAAAUUGCUACGAGGAAAUUUGGAAAAAAGUACUAGUAUCUAUGGAGAAAAGUCGAUUGGCUAUUCAAUUACAAGCCCUUACCACUGCAAUGAAGCUAAUGGCUGAAGAGGGUAAAGCUCUAAUGGAGCCGCGCGAUAACCCAGGAUAUCACUUUCCCCUGCACCGUUUAAAACCUAUCCUCAUGACUCUACUGUCUCCUGAAAAGGACAAUACUAAUUUAAUAUCAAGAUUCCAAGAGAUCACCAGCUGUCCUGAUGUUUUGUAUUAUACAUGGAGAUGUCUACCUUCUCUCACCCCGAAAAGACAACCGAAGGAAGUUUAUAUAAAGAAUCUUCUGGAACUUAUAGAUAAAAUACCACUGCCAAAAGAAGAAGAAGCAUCCAAAGUAUCAGAACAUAAGGAACUUUUGUGUGGGCCGCAAGAUGCUGCAUUUACGUGGGAUCAAUCCAACGUUAAACGCGCAUUAAACAAAGUCUGGGCUUGCAUUAUGCACUGGGAAUUAACGCCGCAGUUGCACAAACAGUUGCUAAUAGUUUUAUUGGAACGAGUCAUAUCGCAUUUAGAAAAACCGAUAUUAUUAACUGACUUUUUGAUGGACUCCCUAGACGCAGACGGUCCUGUUGGAGUGCUCGCACUGCAAGGCGUAUUCAUACUUGUCACCAAACACAAUUUAGAAUAUCCAAAUAUUUUUACCAAGUUGUAUUCGAUGUUUGAGCCUGAGAUCUUUCAUACGAAAUAUAAGGCUCGUCUGUUCUACUUGUCCGAUCUAUUUCUCAGUUCUACACAUCUACCAGAAGCAUUAGUAGCAGCGUUCGCAAAGCGACUCGCACGUCUAACAUUAGUCGCACCACCAGAAGAUAUUUUGAUAAUUCUGCUUUUUGUGGGUAAUCUGUUGCUUCGACAUCCAGGACUAAAGAGGUUGAUAGAUCACCCGCAGGGUGGCGAGGCCCCUUCAAAUGCGAGCACUGGAGCCGGCGAUCCAUUUCUCAUGGAAGAACGUGAUCCAUUGCUGAGCAACGCAUUGUUCAGCAGUCUCUGGGAGAUCCGGGCAUUGCAGUGGCAUAUUUUACCCAGCAUCGCCAGCGCUGCGCGUUUCAUUCGUGAGCCACUGCCCUCGGUUGAGUACGACAUGGCAUCGGCAUUAGAACGCACUGGAGGUCAUCUCUUUGAAAGCGAAUUAAAGAAUAAAGUCAAAGAAAUCAUGCUAACAUUCGAAAGACCAAGCUCUAUGGCACUGCCAAAAGGAGAAAAAUUGUUGCAAUAUUGGCAGCUCACUCAUUGAUCCUGUACACGGCGUGAUCGCGACGCCGAGAAUACAAUAUAUGAGAAAAGAGCCGUCAUUGAAGAUCGUUGGUGUUACAGAUUUCCAGCCAGCUUAAUUUCCAUAAGCUUCUUCAAAGUAAACAGUUACCUGAAGAGACGUAUCUCACAUGUGUACUAGGAAUCCAUCGAAAGAGAGAGAGAGAAAGAGAGAGAGAAAUCGAUGUCAAAUCUAUUCUUCAGUGAUCGAUCUCGCGAUCAAAGCACACAGAUCAAAGAGAAUUCGGAGAAUACCUUAGUU